AAAAGAGAAAAGCUCCCAGCAAAAGCUGGAGCCCCACCAUAGCCACACAAACUGUAGAUCCUGGAGCAGUAAAGUUGAGAGACAGAGGGGUGCAUAUGUUACUGAAUUCAAAAUGAUGCCUGCAACUUAUAAUCAGAUAUAUUUCUAGUUGAUUAGCUUGAACUCCAGACCCUACGGACAACAUUUCAACAGCAGGAGCUAAUGGAAAAGACAGGGACACAAGGGACAUGAUGAAUUCACACUACACGCAAAGCUUUCUUCCAAAAAUGUGGAGAUUUGUAAUCCCUUGUGUCUUUUCUUGCUCUCAGUUUUCUCCAUAGAGACUUUUAUCUUCUUCAGCCAGCAGAGGGAGCUACUGCAGUGCACAUCUGCUGUGCUGUCGCAGUCAGCCUUCCAAAAUGACAUUAACCAUACAAAGACCAUGAGUCAUCGAUUUCUGACCUUGGUUCUAGAGUUAAUCAGCACAGUGGGCUGACCUUUGAGCAUAAAUCUGAAUGUUCAGUGGGGUUUAAAUUAUUUGUCUAAAGUCUUUUGCAGACCCAUUCCAAAGGCCUUGCCAAGACAGGCAGAUGUCAGACGCACACGUAGGCCAGGGCAGCACUGUGAAAACAGAGAUAAAGCUGUGUUUUUCAGCAGCAUAUUGAUGUCGAAGUCGUUAAUUUCCUAUUAAUUGCACAGUGGCCUCAGAGAGGCUUUGAAAGAGGAGAGGGGAUAGAAAUGAGCUCUUGCCAAUUUGAGUCUCAUUCGGAAAUGAAUACAGUUCACCCAGAUGUCCUUCCAAGGACCAGCAGCUCUUUCUUUCUUACUGGGUGCUCCAAAACAGAGAAUUGGCCAGGGGGGGGGGGGGGCUUGCAUGAGACUCACAAUUCAAAUGAUGUCCUUGCAUGGGUUGUAUGGGUCUUAGGCCAGGUCCUUAACCUCUCCUCUUUAGAAGUUAAGUGUCUCUCUGCUUUACCUUUUAAGCCCAGAAAACCCAUUUAGUCUUUCAAAAAUACCAGCAAAGCUGGUACCACCCCCCCCAUCCCUACUCCAUUGCCCAGCAAGGCAUUUUUCCAUUUUUCUUUUCUGGCUUGUCUGCUUUUUGGAAGGCUGUGCAGUCCACCUUUCCAGGCUUAAGCACACAUCUUUAGAAGUUACAAGCAGCAGAAGUUCCACACUCCAACAAGACUUUUCACACAUCAGUUAUAAGAAGAUGUUAUAGCAUGCAUCAGUUAGCAUGUGUUGGCUAGGGUCUAAAGCAUAACAAAAAUAAGUGGGGCGGUGCAACUGGAAUAUUCCUAGGUGGGUAUGAUUGAUAAUACCAGCUACAUUACUGGGGUUCAAUUUAGUACCCAACUCAGAAAGGUGUUUUUUUGUUUGUUUACUGCUAUGUUAUUAGUUCCUACAGUCACAAAAGGAAAUCAGCCAGUUACAUUAUUUACAUGUAGGAAUUAGGAUUGGUGUGGAUUAUUCCAUUUUCUUCUUUUUAUAAACACUGACAGUUCCAAACUCUU